GCACUUCGCUUUGUUGAACAUAUCACAGUUCUUGAAGCAUCCUUUUAAAUCUUUUUCAAGUAGUUCGAAAACAAACCACUAAUGGCACUAUAUGUCUCCCAGCUUCUGUGGAGGGCGAUGGAUUAGAUUAAAACUUAUUCUUAGCAAUUAUUUGAUUUGAAGAUUUAAAGGGGCAAUGUCACCGAUUUUUGAGCAAUUCUAACCCUCGCAAAUUUUGAAUGAAUGUAAGCACAAAAUAAAGCAAUAACAGACACGAAAAACAUGUACAAAAGCAGAGGGAUGGGCAAGAUUACGCCAGGAUUAAGAUGGAUUGUAAAUGGCAUCUUGAUUAAUUGUUGGCAGACACUUUCAAGUUUUAGUUAACUUUUAUGAAAAUGUCAUGUUACAUGUUGCGUGUAAGUUCAAAGUUGUUUAAUAUGACUCAUUUUUAAACUUUGUAGUUCAGUUUUUAAAUAAAAGGCAUUUCAGGUCAAAAAUCGGUGACAUUGCCGUUUAAGAGUUUUAAGACUCGUAUUAUACAUUUGCAUUAGUUCAUCUAGAUUACACUGUAUUUCAUAACUUGAAUACAAAGGCAAAAGCACUUAGUUGUUUUUCUUAGACCUUUGUGCCUACAAUCUACAUUACAAUUAUGAUCCAACAUUUACAUAGAGGAAUUUAGGCCGGU